rnacentral:rRNA from 1 species
UAAUAACCUAUUAAAAGAGUUGGAAAGUACGAACAACAGUUUAAACACCAAAGAAUUUGGCGGUAUCUUAUUUAAUUAGGGGAACCUGUCCCAUAAUCGAUAAUCCACGAAAGUCUUACCUAGUUUUGAAAUUCAGUUAGUGUACUGCCGUCUCAAGUAUACCUUUAUGAGAGUAUACUAUAAAUUAUAAGCAAAUAAGACGUCAGGUCAAAGUGCAGCCAAUAAUUAGGAAGGAGAUGGGUUACAAACUUAAUAAAGACACGGAAAAGUAUAAUAAAUUUAUAUUUUUAAGGUGGACUUAAUAGUAAUUAAAUAGUAAUUUAAUGAAUAUAAUACUAAGAUAUGCACACAUCGCCCGUCACUC